rnacentral:rRNA from 1 species
UACGAAGGGGGCUAGCGUUGCUCGGAAUCACUGGGCGUAAAGGGUGCGUAGGCGGGUCUUUAAGUCAGGGGUGAAAUCCUGGAGCUCAACACCAGAACUGCCUUUAAGACUGCAUCGCUUGAAUCAUGGAGAGGCGGGUGGAAUUCCGAGUGUAGAGGUGAAAUUCGUAGAUAUUCGGAAGAACACCAGUGGCGAAGGCGGCCCGCUGGACAUGUAUUGACGCUGAGGUGCGAAAGCGUGGGGAGCAAACAGG